GGUCAAGUGAAGAAGCGCAUACGGUGGAUGCCUUGGCAGUCAGAGGCGAUGAAAGACGUGGUAGCCUGCGAAAAGCUUCGGGGAGUCGGCAAACAGACUUUGAUCCGGAGAUCUCUGAAUGGGGAACCCACCUAGGAUAACCUAGGUAUCUUGUACUGAAUCCAUAGGUGCAAGAGGCGAACCAGGGAACUGAAACAUCUAAGUACCCUGAGGAAAAGAAAUCAACCGAGAUUCCCUUAGUAGUGGCGAGCGAACGGGGAUUAGCCCUUAAGCUUCAUUGAUUUUAGCGGAACGCUCUGGAAAGUGCGGCCAUAGUGGGUGAUAGCCCCGUACGCGAAAGGAUCUUUGAAGUGAAAUCGAGUAGGACGGAGCACGAGAAACUUUGUCUGAACAUGGGGGGGACCAUCCUCCAAGGCUAAAUACUACUGACUGACCGAUAGUGAACCAGUACCGUGAGGGAAAGGCGAAAAGAACCCCGGAGAGGGGAGUGAAAUAGAACCUGAAACCGUAUGCGUACAAGCAGUGGGAGCCUACUUGUUAGGUGACUGCGUACCUUUUGUAUAAUGGGUCAGCGACUUAUAUUCAGUGGCAAGCUUAACCGUAUAGGGUAGGCGUAGCGAAAGCGAGUCUUAAUAGGGCGUUUAGUCGCUGGGUAUAGACCCGAAACCGGGCGAUCUAUCCAUGAGCAGGUUGAAGGUUAGGUAACACUGACUGGAGGACCGAACCCACUCCCGUUGAAAAGGUAGGGGAUGACUUGUGGAUCGGAGUGAAAGGCUAAUCAAGCUCGGAGAUAGCUGGUUCUCCUCGAAAGCUAUUUAGGUAGCGCCUCAUGUAUCACUCUGGGGGGUAGAGCACUGUUUCGGCUAGGGGGUCAUCCCGACUUACCAAACCGAUGCAAACUCCGAAUACCCAGAAGUGCCGAGCAUGGGAGACACACGGCGGGUGCUAACGUCCGUCGUGAAAAGGGAAACAACCCAGACCGCCAGCUAAGGUCCCAAAGUUGUGGUUAAGUGGUAAACGAUGUGGGAAGGCUUAGACAGCUAGGAGGUUGGCUUAGAAGCAGCCAUCCUUUAAAGAAAGCGUAAUAGCUCACUAGUCGAGUCGGCCUGCGCGGAAGAUGUAACGGGGCUCAAACCACACACCGAAGCUGCGGGUGUCACGUAAGUGACGCGGUAGAGGAGCGUUCUGUAAGCCUGUGAAGGUGAGUUGAGAAGCUUGCUGGAGGUAUCAGAAGUGCGAAUGCUGACAUGAGUAACGACAAUGGGUGUGAAAAACACCCACGCCGAAAGACCAAGGGUUCCUGCGCAACGUUAAUCGACGCAGGGUUAGUCGGUUCCUAAGGCGAGGCUGAAAAGCGUAGUCGAUGGGAAACAGGUUAAUAUUCCUGUACUUCUGGUUACUGCGAUGGAGGGACGGAGAAGGCUAGGCCAGCUUGGCGUUGGUUGUCCAAGUUUAAGGUGGUAGGCUGAAAUCUUAGGUAAAUCCGGGGUUUCAAGGCCGAGAGCUGAUGACGAGUCGUCUUUUAGAUGACGAAGUGGUUGAUGCCAUGCUUCCAAGAAAAGCUUCUAAGCUUCAGGUAACCAGGAACCGUACCCCAAACCGACACAGGUGGUCGGGUAGAGAAUACCAAGGCGCUUGAGAGAACUCGGGUGAAGGAACUAGGCAAAAUGGCACCGUAACUUCGGGAGAAGGUGCGCCGGCUAGGGUGAAGGAUUUACUCCGUAAGCUCUGGCUGGUCGAAGAUACCAGGCCGCUGCGACUGUUUAUUAAAAACACAGCACUCUGCAAACACGAAAGUGGACGUAUAGGGUGUGACGCCUGCCCGGUGCCGGAAGGUUAAUUGAUGGGGUUAGCGCAAGCGAAGCUCUUGAUCGAAGCCCGGUAAACGGCGGCCGUAACUAUAACGGUCCUAAGGUAGCGAAAUUCCUUGUCGGGUAAGUUCCGACCUGCACGAAUGGCGUAACGAUGGCGGCGCUGUCUCCACCCGAGACUCAGUGAAAUUGAAAUCGCUGUGAAGAUGCAGUGUAUCCGCGGCUAGACGGAAAGACCCCGUGAACCUUUACUGUAGCUUUGCACUGGACUUUGAGCCUGCUUGUGUAGGAUAGGUGGGAGGCUUUGAAGCGUGGACGCCAGUUCGCGUGGAGCCAUCCUUGAAAUACCACCCUGGCAUGCUUGAGGUUCUAACUCUGGUCCGUGAUCCGGAUCGAGGACAGUGUAUGGUGGGCAGUUUGACUGGGGCGGUCUCCUCCUAAAGAGUAACGGAGGAGUACGAAGGUGCGCUCAGACCGGUCGGAAAUCGGUCGUAGAGUAUAAAGGCAAAAGCGCGCUUGACUGCGAGACAGACACGUCGAGCAGGUACGAAAGUAGGUCUUAGUGAUCCGGUGGUUCUGUAUGGAAGGGCCAUCGCUCAACGGAUAAAAGGUACUCCGGGGAUAACAGGCUGAUACCGCCCAAGAGUUCAUAUCGACGGCGGUGUUUGGCACCUCGAUGUCGGCUCAUCACAUCCUGGGGCUGAAGCCGGUCCCAAGGGUAUGGCUGUUCGCCAUUUAAAGUGGUACGCGAGCUGGGUUUAGAACGUCGUGAGACAGUUCGGUCCCUAUCUGCCGUGGACGUUUGAGAUUUGAGGGGCUGCUCCUAGUACGAGAGGACCGGAGUGGACGAACCUCUGGUGUUCCGGUUGUCACGCCAGUGGCAUUGCCGGGUAGCUAUGUUCGGAAAAGAUAACCGCUGAAAGCAUCUAAGCGGGAAACUUGCCUCAAGAUGAGAUCUCACUGGGAACUUGAUUCCCCUGAAGGGCCGUCGAAGACUACGACGUUGAUAGGCUGGGUGUGUAAGCGUUGUGAGGCGUUGAGCUAACCAGUACUAAUUGCCCGUGAGGCUUGACCAU
rnacentral:rRNA from 1 species